ACGUUCACGAUCCAGGUCUGUACCUCGCCCACCACAUGAAGUUGUGCCUGGAGAGGGCUUAAAGGACUCUGCACAAAAGAUCAAGGCGAUUAAACUUGCAACGAAAUCUGUCAAGAAGAGAAACAAGCAAGCUCGAUGAGGAGAAGUUGAUAGAGUCAUACCAACUCUUAAGCCAAAGCACUUGUUUUCUGGAAAGCGCUCCACUGGAAAAACCGAUAGGCGCUGAAAAAGCAGGGGAAAUUGUUUUAUGCUGGUUGUUAGAGAAGUUUCUCGGCAUUACUCGAGGCUGCCAAAAGUUUUGUUUCUCUAUAUUA